UUUGAGCUUGUGUUGGGUUUGGCUAAGCUUGACAUAGUCCCACAUAGUCUAAUAAAAAGUUUUUUGUCUUUGCAUAGUCUAUUAAAAAGUUUUUUGUCCUUGCUUUCCUUUAAUAAAUGGAGGAGAAGCGAGUUUAAAUUUUUUAAGUAAAGAACACUUGGGCCUCGUGAGGCUUGGCUUGGCCUGUAGGCCUCAACAGGUAAUGUUUUUUUAUUUUAAAUUUUGCCUGACCCGGCCUGCAGAUAAAAAGUCAAGACUUGACUUGGCCUGGUCAACGGUUAAAACUUGGCAGGCUUAGGUUGGUCCAGGCCAGGCUGGCCCGAUUUGCUUAUGAUGGUACUUAAAAAUGUAAUUUCUUUGUACCAUUUAUCUGGGGAUUGGACAUUAGCACAGUUUACAUUUCUUUCAAUUUGAGGCCUGUUUGAUGCGUUAGGAAAAUAUCAUUGAGAGUUUAUUAUGCAUGUGGUGUAAUUCUUUUUUGCAAGGGAGUGACAUUGUGGAACACAUACAAAUUAUUAAUUACCCUUUUAAUGAAAUUGUAAUAUAAACAAAGUUGCAAGUUUCUUCCCCAGGUGACUGACUACCAGUACCAGUACCAGUACCACAUGGGGAAUAAAUAGAUUGUCUUUUCCUACUACUAUCUAUUAGUACUCGUUAAUUUUCUACUUAUUCUAUUUGUUUUCCAAACAAAGAAAACUUGAAUGUUUCGAAAUAAAAAAAAAGAAUAAAUAAAAAGUUACUCCAAAAAGACGUGGUUUCGUCUUAUUUAUGUCACUACUAUCGAUCCACAGCAGCAGGCACGUACAUACAGAUCAUCUAAUCCUCUAGGAGAAUGAAGCUCAGAAGUACUACUAGUCCUCUCCAUCCCUUGUUUUUGUUCUUAGCGAUAAUCUCAUCUUUGACUAUAUACCGUAUGUUGUUAAUUGACAUGCAGGUUUCAUGGGGUAAUUGAUCUAGUACGAGCAGCAAACAAAGAAAACCCAUUCACACUAAAAGCCUCCCUCUUUCCUCCUUUCCAAAUCCUCCCCUCGAUCUCUCCGCCUUUUUUACAAAACCCGCCACCCCGCCAACUUAUUCUGCCCGCCCUUUCAUUGCUCCAACCCAACUGACACAGACGACGCAACCUUCGCAUUUUAUUCCAAUGAACGCUUCUCCAACUGCGGAAUAAGCAACCAGAAUAUAUAUUAUAGAACAAUAGGAAAGACAACCAAAAAAUAUAAACCAGUCCGUAUUACUCUGCAUAUCACAACUACAACCUACUGCUCUUUAAAUAGAAGUACUGACUAACAAAUACUAGAAAAUAGGACCACUAACUUUCAACGUGCAUAAACUUCCUAUGACCACUACUACACUAAUAAGAAAUCCCUAUAAAAUAGGACAACUGAUACGUGACUCAACAAUUCCUCCCUUAAACUGAUAUUCCAAAUAUUCGGUUUAACAUUUUCUCCAUAAUGCAUACUCCAAGUUUCUCUCUUAGUUUUUGGAAGACAUUUAAAUUGAGAGGCUUAGUAAAUAUAUCAGCCACCUGAUCUUCAUUUUUGCAGUAAAUGAUAUCAAUAACUCCUUCUAUUGUGCGCUCCCUUAGAUAAUGAUACUUCACAUCUAUAUGUUUGCUUCUUCCAUGAAGAACAGGAUUUUUAGAGAGUUUAAUUGCAGAGCUGUUAUCACAAUAAAUUAUAGUUGGUCCCUCUUGCUUGAAAUGCAACUCUUAAAGAAUUUUCCUCAACCAAAUAGCUUGACAUGCACUUGCUGUUCCUGCUACAAACUCGGCUUCUGUUGUUGACAAAGUAACUAUUGGUUGCUUCUUUGAGGACCAUGAAACGACUGUUGAACCCAACAUAAAAGCAUAUCCCGAUGUGCUUCUUCCAUCAUCCAAAUCUCUUGUAUAAUCUGUAAGACCCCAACUUAUUAUUAAAUGAAAUUGAAAUUUCCUCUAUUUAUUAUUUUGGAAUAUUAAGGGUUGGUUUGAUUAAUGUGGUUAGUUAUGGGUAAAAUAUGCAAAUAUUUUAAAUAAGCAAGUGGUUAUAAAAUAUUCAUUGUUGUCGGGGAAUAUUCGUUUGGUCGUGGAAUAUUCUUAUUGUCGGGGAAUAUUCGUACGACGGCGCAGCCUUGUGUGGGCCCCAUAACGGAAAGCGAUUGGAUGAAGAAAACGACAAGAAUAAGUUGUUUAUAAAUAAUGGCAUAGUUGUUACCGUUAAUACUGUUGGAAUACCCGGUGGUUAAAACACAGUAGCACACGGUAUUGCACCAAUUAUUGAUUUUUACGUAAGAAUGCACUACUCAAUAAUUGUUACAGUAAUUACUGUUCAAUAUUUUUUUUAUUGAUUCAAUAAUUGUUACGUUAAUAUUUUAUUGUUGUUUCAAUAAUUGUCACUGCACAAUAUUUUCCUUUAUCGAAUUAAUAAUUCAUAUUAUUUGAAUAAUAUUAUUAGAUAGCAUUAUUGAUAAUGUCUAAAAAGUUCUGUUUAAGGAGAGGUUUGGUCACCUAAUUGCACGCCAGUAAGGAGAAAUCCUUAUCGGAAAGCCCCCUCUUUCCUGGGAACUGCUUGUUUAUCAGUAUUGUGAUUCUGUAAUAUUAUUUAUGAAUAAUUAAUUAUUGAUUUAUAUGAUAAGGAAAAUAUUCAUUUUAUGUGGAUAUAGAUGGAGAAAAUUUUUAAUGUGACAAUUGUUGAAAAUUGAAAUUUUAUCUUUUUCUGAUAAAAUAAUUCAUUUAAAUAUAUUAUUAUAUUUUAAUAAUAUAAUAAUGGUGAUAUUUUUAUAAUGAAUGUGGGAUAUAUGAAUAAAUGAGGAGGAAGAGUAUUUUUGCUACAAUAAAUAUUUAAAACAUGCUUUUCAUGUCGGUGGACCCCAUUUCUUGACUGAAAUUUGAUUAUAGCCUGUAAAAUCGUCCGUUUGUGGAUUUUGGUCAAUUUCUGUUUGGAAUUUGGAAAAACUUUCUUCUACAAAGUUGUAGAGAAUGGAAUUUUCUAUAGAAAGGACAUGAGGUUCGAAUUUUUCUGAUAAAAGGGCUAUUUAUUGUGAAUUAUUAAAGUUCCAGAAUAUCGGGUCGGAAUUAAUUUUUGGGUUAUAAAAUAUUUUUUUGAUGAAAAACGUUUUUUUUAUUUUUGGCACAUGUGUGGCUGGUGUUUUUAACCAAAAGGUGGGCUAAGGAAAUUUAUAAUAUAUAUAUUAAUAUUUUAUUAAAUUUUUUGCUUUGGUGUUCUAAGCAUUUUUCUAUAAAUAGGGUGUUUAGGUUAGAAUUGAAAAUCACAUCAGAAACUGAAGUUUUCUCUCUCUUUCUCUCUCUAUAUUAUCGAGCGUAUUCUUGUGAGUAUUUUGAUACUUUGAGUGUUGCUAUACGGUGCAAGUUCCCUUCAGCACUAUAUCCAGUAAUCCAGUCAGAAGUAAUGUCUUUUCGAGGCAAGGGAUAUUUUUUUUUUUAAAAUGAUAUUAUUUCUUCUAAUAUCAUUAUGCCGGAAUAUUGGUAAGAUUUUUCUUGUGAAAUUCUUGUCUUUUAGUGUCGGGGUUACUAUUCACGUAUACGGCACUAUUCACGUAUACGACACUAUUCACGAAUACGGCACUAUUCACAGAAAAAUUAAAUUUUUGUUUUUUGUCCAAAAUAUCUAUUAUGGAUACUAGCUUUGAUUGUAUCCAUGUUUUGAUCAUUCUUGAAUUUUACUCCACUAUGAUUAUUUAUGAAGUAUUUUUGAACUCGGAUUGUUUAAAGUACGAAUCCUUAAUAUUUGUUCUUUUGUUUCACUGGAUUCGUUUUCUUUAAAAUAUUUUUCAUCAUCCUCAGUCCUAAAUGAUGAUAUUACUGAAUAUCUUUGGCCUGUAGUGCAAAGAUGAAUGAUUUUUUGAUGAAUAUCUUUGGCCCGUAGUGCAAAGAUGAACAGGUGUUGAGAUGAACAUGACCAACUGAUGAAUAUCUUUGGCCUGUAGUGCAAAGAUGAAUAUUUGAUUCAAGAUGUAUAUUGAUUGAUGUUACAGGGAUAAAAUAAUGAUGAUGGACUUUUAAAUUCAUAGAUUAUAGUAGAUUUCAUUCUCUACGUAACUCUUCUAUGAAUUAUUAUUUUCGCUGGAAAUAUUGAUCUGAAACUUGUUGUCUAUUAUAUUCUGUCAGAUUUUUUCCUGUUGUAGACUAACGAUAAUUUGUUCUAUAUUAUCUUAGUCAUAAUAUUUUUUACUAGGCUAGUUGAGCUUACCCUUUCCCUUUUUGUUCCAUUUUUCUUCUCAGGAGGAGAGAAUGUAGCGAGUACUAGUCGGGGUAUGGAAUGAAGGUCUUGGGAAGUUGUUUUAGUAGUCCUCACCAUUUUUAUAAAAUAAUGUACCAAUAAUUGUAAUGAGGACUUAUUUGGGUGUGAAUAUUGUCUAGAUGACAAUAUUUGUAUUUAAACUCACAGUUUUUAUGUUGUAUUAAUAAAGUUGUAGUUGU
rnacentral:lncRNA from 1 species